GUCCAUCACAGUAGGACAGGCGGAAGUGACGUCUACCUGCAACGCGACGCCACUUCGGCUGCGCUCUUUCAGAAUAAAAGACUUUCGUUGCUCGUGACUCUCGUGAAAGGGUUAGAGAAAGAAGCUGGCGCCCUCUGCCGGCCGGCAGUCAGCCUGCCUGUGGUUAUCUGGAGCUGUCGCUGUAGUCAUGAUGCUACAGGACAAAGUGACACUUCUCACUCCACCUGGUCUGUCGUUCUGAUUGGCUGACUCCUUCCUGGAGGCAGCUCAUUGGCUGACAUGACGGUGCCAACCUGUGACUCUAAAAUACAAACCAGUAUUCCACUUUGUUCAUUUAAAUGUUACUUUAAAUGAAUUUCUUUUAUGAAAAUGAUUAAAGGGUGUUAUUUAAUGAGACAUUUAUGGAGCUAAAUUGGGGCCAUAAAGUUUGUUUUUGAACCUGAAGAAAACUAAAACUCAAAAAUAACCUUUAAUUUCAAAAGUAGUAUUUUUCCUGUAAGACCAGCAGGUGUUCCCAGGCGGCGCUAAAGGGUCGUGGCGUUAAAGGGGCGGCGGCGCUGCAGCCGGGUCGUGGCGUUAAAGGGGCGGCGGCCGGGUCACCAGGUGAGAAAAGAGACGCAGGACGCAGCUUGUGUUGAACUUUAUUGAUCAUCUGCAGUGAGUCUCUGCUGCAGCUCAAUCGGUUAAAUUAGCUGCAGUUUACAGCAAUAACUUACGCUUUACAGUGUUACUCGUUUCCAUGGCGACAGGACAGGAAGCAUCAGGUUCUGAACAAAGCCAGUUUUGUUGGGUACAGGUCCAAAAGGUUCCGAUCAGUAGUUUAACUGGACCUGAUCGGAUCGAAGGUUAGUGGGUUAAUCAGACCCGGCCCGAAGGUUCUGGUUCUGGUACCGUACAACAUACCGGGCUGUGUUCAGAAUCAAACCUUCCAGACGCUACAGCUACCAGAAACAUCAAUAUCAUCACCUUCAGGUCGCCAUGGGAACGCUGUUCUGAAGGGGUGGGGCCAUGCAGGGCAGGGGGCGG